rnacentral:rRNA from 1 species
AGAAUCAACGCUGGCGGCGUGCCUAACACAUGCAAGUCGCACGAGAAAGGGGAGCAAUCCCUGAGUACAGUGGCGCACGGGUGAGUAACACGUGAAUAAUCUACCUCCGAGUGGGGAAUAACUGAGAGAAAUCUUAGCUAAUACCGCAUAACACUUACGAGUCAAAGCAGCAAUGCGCUUGGAGAGGAGUUCGCGGCCGAUUAGUUAGUUGGCGGGGUAAUGGCCCACCAAGACGAUGAUCGGUAUCCGGCCUGAGAGGGCGCACGGACACACUGGAACUGAAACACGGUCCAGACUCCUACGGAGGCAGCAGUGGGGAAUUUUGCGCAAUGGGGGAAACCCUGACGCAGCAACGCCGCGUGGAGGAUGAAGCCCCUUGGGGUGUAAACUCCUUUCGAUCGGGAAGAUAAUGACGGUACCGAUAUAAGAGCCCCGGCUAACUUCGCGCCAGCAGCCGC